GAUGAACGCUCGCUACAGGCUUAACACAUGCAAGUCGAGGGGAAACGCCAUCGAAAGCUUGCUUUUGAUGGGCGUCGACCGGCGCACGGGUGAGUAACGCGUAUCCAACCUGCCCACCACUUGGGGAUAACCUUGCGAAAGUAAGACUAAUACCCAAUGACGUCUCUAGAAGACAUCUGAAAGAGAUUAAAGAUUUAUCGGUGAUGGAUGGGGAUGCGUCUGAUUAGCUUGUUGGCGGGGUAACGGCCCACCAAGGCGACGAUCAGUAGGGGUUCUGAGAGGAAGGUCCCCCACAUUGGAACUGAGACACGGUCCAAACUCCUACGGGAGGCAGCAGUGAGGAAUAUUGGUCAAUGGACGAGAGUCUGAACCAGCCAAGUAGCGUGCAGGAGGACGGCCCUAUGGGUUGUAAACUGCUUUUAUAAGGGAAUAAAGUGAGUCUCGUGAGACUUUUUGCAUGUACCUUAUGAAUAAGGACCGGCUAAUUCCGUG
rnacentral:rRNA from 1 species